CAAAAGCUGGUUGUUUAAAGGAGCAUGGCACCUCCUCCUCUCUUCCUUGCCCCUUUUUCUCUUGCUCCCUUUCUCACCUUGUGACAUGCCUAUUCCCACUUCACCUUCUGCCAUGAGUAAAAGCCUCCUGAGGCCUCAUGAGAAGCAGAUGCCGGCAUCAGGCUUCUUGUGCAAUCUGCAGAACGAGUAGGCUCAGUUUGGACUGGUCCUCCAACUUCAACAGGGAAGCCAAGACUUCCACCCUUGCAAGAUGGUAUAAAGGUGCCCCAACAACCCCAUCCAGGGUUAUCAAAGGAGGCCAGGUAAGGAACCAGGACUUUUAUCUCCAUCCAGCAGUAACAAGGCACUUCUUGGUUUGGAGCUAAAGAAGCUAGAAAUCCAUAAAUGUCAAAAGAUGCAGGAAAAGUCUUAAAUCAAUAAUCCAAGCUCCCACAUCAAGAACCUUAAAAGCAAAAUAACCCCAAAGCAAGAAGAAGGAAAUAAACAAUAAAGACAAGGUCACAAAUCAAUUAAAUUAACAACAGAAAAACAAUAGACACAAUCAAUGAAAUGAAGAGUUGGCUCUUUGAAAACAUCAAUAAUAUCCACAAAACUCUAGCAAGAUUAGCAGAGAAAAAAGAAGAGAAGACAUAAAUUGCCAAUGUCAGGAAUGAAACAAGAAUAUAAGUCCUGCACAUAUCAAAAAGAUCACAAUGAAAUACUACAAACAACUCUACACACGAAUUUGACAACUUAGAUAAAAUUGACUGCUUCCUCAAAUUUGUAAUGUUAAAACUCUCCAAAUAGAAAUUUCCAGAUCUAGAUGGGUUCACUGGAGGAUUCUACCAAACAUUUAAAGAAGAACUAAC
rnacentral:lncRNA from 10 species